rnacentral:rRNA from 1 species
GGUUGAUCCUGCCAGUAGUCAUAUGCUUGUCUCAAAGAUUAAGCCAUGCACGUCAAAGUUUUAGCCUUGAGUGAAACUGCGAAUGGCUCAUUAAUACAGUUGAAAUAUACAUGAUAAUUUAAAUGGAUAACUGUGGUAAUUCUAGAGCUAAUACAUGUAAAUUUACAAAGAAACUCUGCUUUAUCGACAUCGCUUCGGUUUACCGUUGCGAUUCGUGAAAAUCUGAGUGUACCUACCUUUCGAGGGGUAUCAUUCUAUCAUCUGACCUAUCAGCUGUCGACGGUAAGGUAGUU